UACGAAGGGAGCUAGCGUUGUUCGGAAUCACUGGGCGUAAAGCGCACGUAGGCGGAUUUGUCAGUCAGGGGUGAAAUCCCGGGGCUCAACCUCGGAACUGCCUUUGAUACAGCAAGUCUUGAGUUCGAGAGAGGUGGGUGGAAUUCCUAGUGUAGAGGUGAAAUUCGUAGAUAUUAGGAAGAACACCGGUGGCGAAGGCGGCCCACUGGCUCGAUACUGACGCUGAGGAGCGAAAGCAUGGGGAGCGAACAGG
rnacentral:rRNA from 1 species